rnacentral:rRNA from 1 species
UGAGCCAAGUUUAGGGUUUUCUCAAAACCCAAGCAGUAUUGAACUGAAGAGUUUGAUCAUGGCUCAGAUUGAACGCUGGCGGCAGGCCUAACACAUGCAAGUCGAGCGGAUGAAGGGAGCUUGCUCCUGGAUUCAGCGGCGGA